ensembl:sense_intronic Gm28499 predicted gene 28499
GAUGAAUGGCGGAGCCCAGCCCAGUAAAGCCCUGAGCUCCACAGUGGCUGGCCUGGGUCCUAGGGAUGCCAACAUUGGGCAUGCCAUGGUUCCUGUCCUGCACCCAACUAGGAACUGAACAUCAAGGGCUACCAAAAGCCUCUGCACCCUACUCUUAUGCCUAGUACCCCCUAUUCCCUGAAAUGAAGCAAGGCCUGGACCCUGGGCCGUCACAUUUGGAGCAGCCCUUCCCCCCAGGACACACACUUAUAAAAUACGAAAGCUGGGGUCCCCACAUACUGCAUCAUCCAAGGCUGGGACAGUACACAGAACACAAAUCUCAAAUCAGAAGUCCUCUGAAACAGCCGUCCUGAUGGGAUGGAGACUCAUGCUGAGAAGAUCUGAAGAUGACAUACAGCAUCGCCCUGUCAGGCAGCCAGCUACCAGAAGCUAGCUCCCAAAGCCCAGCAAGAAGUUCUCUGUGGCUCUGGGCAUCUGUGCCCAGGGAAGGACCAUGCGUUGUGAUGUCUGCUGCCAGCAGACAAGCAUCUAAGAGACUGUGACCCUGAUUACUAGCUAUCAAAUUGUGUUUUUUGGAAAGUUGGCCUGUGAAUCAGGCGAUUCCUCUGCUGACUUGCAAAGAGGUUCCUCUAAAUAAAGCUUAUAGGCUCUAACCAGUACUUGCAAAA